GCGGAAGGAUCAUUACCUAGAGUUGCGGGCUUUGCCUGCCAUCUCUUACCCAUGUCUUUUGAGUACCUUCGUUUCCUCGGUGGGUUCGCCCGCCGGUUGGACAACACUUAAACCCUUUGUAAUUGAAAUCAGCGUCUGAAAAAACUUAAUAGUUACAACUUUCAACAACGGAUCUCUUGGUUCUGGCAUCGAUGAAGAACGCAGCGAAAUGCGAUAAGUAGUGUGAAUUGCAGAAUUCAGUGAAUCAUCGAAUCUUUGAACGCACAUUGCGCCCCUUGGUAUUCCAUGGGGCAUGCCUGUUCGAGCGUCAUUUGUACCUUCAAGCUCUGCUUGGUGUUGGGUGUUUGUCUCGCCUUUGCGCGCAGACUCGCCUCAAAACGAUUGGCAGCCGGCGUAUUGAUUUCGGAGCGCAGUACAUCUCGCGCUUUGCACUCACAACGACGACGUCCAAAAAGUACAUUUUUACACUCUUGACCUCGGAUCAGGUAGGGAUACCCGCUGAACUUAAGCAUAUCAA
rnacentral:rRNA from 1 species